rnacentral:lncRNA from 1 species
UUUUUCAUGAUUAAUGGCUCUUUAUUUUUUGAAGAAAACUCAAUUAUUUUUGUGAGUCUCUUGUUAUUAUUAUCAUUUUUUUAUUUUUUUUUAAGUUCUCUAGUACCCCUACCCCAAACUUAAGAUGUUGCUAAUUCCAAAAGCAACCCCAAACUUAAAAUGUUGCCAUGACAAGAAAAUUUAAAGCUUCUACCUAACUCCAAGGAGGGCAAACAGAUAAAAAAUUUCAGGUCUAAAAGGCUUAUAAUUUGGUAUGUCACCGAAAGAAAAGGGGAAUAUGUUUUAUUUUUUUUUUUAGGCUCAAAUUGGUUUAGUAACGGAUAAAUAAUAAACAGGGUAGCUUGAAAAGGCUCAGAGUACCAAACAAAUGUGCCUCCAUGUGUGUAAAUGCAAAACCAAUCAACAGUAGAGAAUAGUCG